AGAGUUUGAUCCUGGCUCAAACGAACGCUGGCGGCAUGCCUAACACAUGCAAGUCGAACGAACUCUUCGGAGUUAGUGGCGCACGGGUGCGUAACGCGUGGGAAUCUGCCCUUGGGUACGGAAUAACUCAGGGAAAUUUGUGCUAAUACCGUAUAAUGACUUCGGUCCAAAGAUUUAUCGCCCAAGGAUGAGCCCGCGUAAGAUUAGCUAGUUGGUGGGGUAAAAGCCUACCAAGGCGACGAUCUUUAGCUGGUCUGAGAGGAUGAUCAGCCACACUGGGACUGAGACACGGCCCAGACUCCUACGGGAGGCAGCAGUGGGGAAUAUUGGACAAUGGGCGAAAGCCUGAUCCAGCAAUGCCGCGUGAGUGAUGAAGGCCUUAGGGUUGUAAAGCUCUUUUACCCGGGAUGAUAAUGACAGUACCGGGAGAAUAAGCUCCGGCUAACUCCGUGCCAGCAGCCGCGGUAAUACGGAGGGAGCUAGCGUUGUUCGGAAUUACUGGGCGUAAAGCGCGCGUAGGCGGUCUUUUAAGUCAGAGGUGAAAGCCCAGUGCUCAACACUGGAACUGCCUUUGAAACUGGAAGACUUGAAUCAUGGAGAGGCUCAGUG
rnacentral:rRNA from 1 species